rnacentral:tRNA from 1 species
CUGUAGCGCAAUGGAUAGAGCGUUGGACUUCUAAUCCAAAGGUCGUGGGUUCGAAUCCCACCCGAAAGG